GCCUUGAUAGUUCAGUUGGCUAGAGCGUGGUUUUGAGAACGCCAGGGUUGCAGGUUCAAUCCCCAUAAGGGACA